AACCUCCUGAGGUCGCACCUGGGGAAAGGCUAAUAUUCUACCAGAAUGGGUGGGAAAGUGAGGCCAGCAGAACUACCUGUUCCGUUCCCCAUUUGCUCAGAAGCUGACGAUCAGAAGAUACUCUGCAAGUAUU
rnacentral:snoRNA from 1 species